GCCUACAUGGUGUAAUGGUAGCACAUUCGGGACCUAUUCGAGAGGUCCAGGGUUCGAUUCCUUGUGAGCGCA
rnacentral:tRNA from 1 species